GGUAUUUUACAAAAUUAUAUCUAGGUGGCCCAAUAGUCUAAGAGCCCGUGGACCCCAGACCUACGUUAUUUUAUAAAGCUGAAAGUUUGUAAUGCACGCAUGCUCCCACCACAGGUGUAGUGCGAUGCGCUGCUUGGGUGUAUUGAGGCCCUCAACUACGUCUCAUGCCUACAAAUUUCACGAGCCUCGUAGGAAUUGGUGACAGGAGAGCUCCCAGCACACCAGGUCCCACACAGAGGCCGCGCCGCAACACUCGCGCGAGCCCAGCACUCGGAGAGACUUCAAGUACAGCUCCUCUGCAUCACGGUACAAGCUCGACUUGGGGGCCCUAACA